rnacentral:rRNA from 1 species
UACAGAGGUGGCAAGCGUUGUUCGGAAUUACUGGGCGUAAAGGGCGCGUAGGCGGUCAGGUCAGUCCCGUGUGAAAUCCCUCGGCUCAACUGAGGAACUGCACGGGAAACUACCUGGCUUGAGUUCGGGAGAGGGAAGCGGAAUUCCGGGUGUAGCGGUGAAAUGCGUAGAUAUCCGGAGGAAACCCGUGGCGAAGGCGGCUUCCUGGACCGACACUGACGCUGAGGCGCGAAAGCUAGGGGAGCAAACGGG